AGGUGGCUCAGUGGGUAAAGUGCUUGACUCAGAAGCAGGAGGGCCUGAGUUCAGUUCCCAGCCU
rnacentral:tRNA from 1 species